CCUAGACCGCGGCCCGGAAGUAAAGACAACUUUCCAGGAGCCUGCGCACUUAGCGGGGAGGGCAAACGUUUGAAAAACGUUUCUGAUUGGUUAAAAAAGAACAGUGGACGAGGGCUGAGAAAAGAAAUGUAGCCAUUGGCUGGAAGUCAUAAACAGAUUAUCUGCGCUCUCUCUUCUGAUACGUGCGUUGGAGUCAAGGUUUAGAAAACGCGCAGUAGCCGGGCGCGGUGGCUCACGCCUGUAAUCCCAGCAGUUUGGGAGGCCGAGGCUUGCGGAUCACCUGAGGUCAGGAGGUCGAGACCAGCUUGGCCAACAUGGUGAAACCUCUUCUCUACCAAAAAUAGGAAAAUUAGCCUGGCGUGGUGGCGCCGCCUGUAAUCCCAGCUACUCGGGAGGCUGAGGCAAGAGAAUCGCUUGAACCCGGGAAGACGAGGUUGCAGUGAGCCACUGUAGAAAAAGCAAAAAGAAAAGGCUCAGUGAAAGAAAGAAGAAAGAAAGAAAAGAAAAAAGAAAAGGCUCAGUGAGGCUCUGAGGGAGGGAGUUCUGCUGUUCAUGCCCAUAGGUCUUCUAAUAACCAAUCCCACCCAGGAACUUCUGUGAAAACUGAUAAAAUUUAAACUCCAGGCAUAAUGAAUUACAGAAUCUUGCUGUAUUGCCCAGGUUGGAGUGCAGUGGCCAUUCACAGGCACCAUGAUAGCUCACUGCAGCCUUGAGCUCCUGGACUGAAGCAAUCCUGCCUCAGGCUUCCAAUUAGUUGGGACUACAAGCCAUUGCUAAAAAUUGAGGCCGGGUGCGGUGGUGCACGCCUGUAAUCCCAGCACUUUGAGAGGCCGGGGUGGGAUGAUCACAAGGUUAGGAGAUCAAGACCAUCCUGGCUAACACGGUGAAACCCCUUCUGUACUAAACAUACAAAAAAUUAGCUGGGCGUGGUGGCGGGUGCCAGUAGUCCCAGCUACUUGGUAGGCUGAGGCAGGAGAAUGGCAUGAACCCAGGAGGCGGAGCUUGCAGUGAGCCGAGAUCGCGCCACUGCACUCCAGCCUGGGCGACAGAGCGAGACUCUGUCUCAAAAAAAAAAAAAAAAAAAUUGAAAACCACUAACAAUCAUUGACACAUUGUAACUAUGUAAAUAUUAUUGACAGAAGAAUUAGAUACUAGUAUUUUAUUCUCCUCUCCACAGGGAGUCUACAGGUACUCUAAAAGACUAUUCAAGUUUAAGAUUACAGAGUUUUAAAUUUACAAGAAAAAAACAAACCACCCCUUCAAAACGUGGGCAAAGGAUAUGAACAGACACUUCUCAAAAGGAGACAUGUAUGCGGCCAAGAAACAUACAAAAAAAAGCUCAACAUCACUGAUCACUAGAGAAAUGCAAAUCAAAACCACAAUGAGAUACCAUCUCACACCAGUCAG